AACUAAAACUAGCCCAGAAACAAUCUCAUAAAAUUACUCUUAUAAACUAAAUCAAAACAUUUACUAGUAUUAAAGUAUAGGUGAUAGAAAUAAUAUUUACAUGGCGCUAUAGAAAAAGUACCGUAAGGGAAAGCUGAAAGACACAUUCUAAGUAAUAAAUAGCAAAGACUAACACUUGUACCUUUUGCAUUAUGAUUUAGCUAGAAUACCUUAGCAAAAAGAAUUAAAGUUAAAUAACCCGAAACCAGACGAGCUACCUUAGCAGCAGCCAACCGAGCAAACCCGUCUAUGUGGCAAAAUAGUGGGACGACUGUAAGGUAGAGGUGACAAGCCUAUCGAGCCUGGUGAUAGCUGGUUGUCCAGAACAGAAUUUUAGUUCUAAUUUAAAUUUACAAAAAAAAGAGUAAAUUUUAAUGUAGGUUUAAAAAAUAGUCUAUAGGGGUACAGCCUUUUAGACAGGGGAUACAACCCGCACUAGAGAGCAAGUAAAUUUCAAAGGACUACAGUAGUUGGCCUAAAAGCAGCCAUCAAACAAGAAGGCGUUCAAGCCCAACAGAAAUCUAAACUGAUCCCGACAACAUACACGAACUCCUAAUGUAUAACUGGACCAUUCUAUCAACGCAUAGAAGAGACAAUGCUAAUAUGAGUAAUAAGAAAUAUUUCUCCUCGCACGUGUGUAUAUCAAGACGAAUAAAUCACUGAUAGUUACCAAAGUAUAUAUUUCCAAAAAUACUACCCAUACUGUUACUUGUUGACCCAACACAGGAGUGCAAUUAGGGAAAGAUUAAAAGAAGUAAAAGGAACUCGGCAAAUUUUAACCCCGCCUGUUUACCAAAAACAUCACCUCUAGCAUAAAUAGUAUUAGAGGCAUUGCCUGCCCAGUGACUUCAGUUUAACGGCCGCGGUAUCCUAACCGUGCAAAGGUAGCAUAAUCACUUGUUCCCUAAAUAGGGACUUGUAUGAACGGCUCCACGAGGGUUAUGCUGUCUCUUACUUCCAAUCAAUGAAAUUGACACCCCCGUGAAGAGGCGGGGAUAAAAAAAUAAGACGAGAAGACCCUAUGGAGCUUUAAUUAAUUAGCCUACAAGUAACAAUAUUACUUUCCCUACGGGAAUACUCAUGUAUUAACUAAGCUAAAAAUUUGGGUUGGGGUGACCUCGGAAUAAAGACUAGCUCCCGAGAGAAAUUUAUUAAGACCAACAAGUCAAAAUUAACCUAUUACACAAUGAUCCGCCAGUGGCGAUCAACGAAACAAGUUACCCUAGGGAUAACAGCGCAAUCCUGUUUAAGAGUCCAUAUCGACAAUAAGGGUUUACGACCUCGAUGUUGGAUCAGGACAUCCCAAUGGUGCAGCAGCUAUUAAUGUGUUCGCUUGUUCAACGAUUAAAGUCCUACGUGAUCUUGAGUUCAGACCGGAGCAAUCCAGGUCGGUUUCUAUCUAUUCACAGCCUCUCCCAGUACGAAAGGAUAAGAGAGACAGGGCCCACCUGUUACCAAGCGCCCUAAUAAAACAGAUGAAUUAAUCUCAAUCUCACUGUACAAACUCAUCUCCCCAGACUAGGGACU
rnacentral:rRNA from 1 species